rnacentral:rRNA from 1 species
AUUGAACGCUGCGGCAUGCUUAACACAUGCAAGUCGAACGGUAACAGGCCCUUCGGGUGCUGACGAGUGGCGGACGGGUGAGUAAUGCUUAGGAAUCUGCCUAGUAGUGGGGGAUAACCCGGGGAAACUCGGGCUAAUACCGCAUACGCCCUACAGGGGAAAGCGGGGGACUUUCGGGCCUCGCGCUAUUAGAUGAGCCUAAGUCCGAUUAGCUAGUUGGUAGGGUAAUGGCCUACCAAGGCGACGAUCGGUAGCUGGUCUGAGAGGACGACCAGCCACACUGGGACGUGAGACACGGCCCACGACUCCUACGGGAGGCAGCAGUGGGGAAUAUUGGACAAUGGGCGGCAAGCCUGAUCCAGCGAUGCCGCGUGUGUGAAGAAGGCCUGCGGGUUGUAAAGACACUUUC